rnacentral:rRNA from 1 species
CCUACGGGAGGCUGCAGUGAGGAAUAUUGGUCAAUGGACGAGAGUCUGAACCAGCAACGUAGCGUGAAGGAUGAAUGCUCUAUGGGUUGUAAACUCCUUUUAUAAAGGAAUAAAACGAGGCACGUGUGCCUUUUUGCAUGUACUUUAUGAAUAAGGAUCGGCUAACUCCGUGCCAGCAGCCGCGGUAAUACGGAGGAUCCGAGCGUUAUCCGGAUUUAUUGGGUUUAAAGGGAGCGUAGAUGGGUUGUUAAGUCAGUUGUGAAAGUUUGCGGCUCAACCGUAAAAUUGCAAUUGAUACUGGCAGUCUUGAGUACAGGUGAGGUAAGCGGAAUUCGUGGUGUAGCGGUGAAAUGCUUAGAUAUCACGAAGAACCCCGAUUGCGAAGGCAGCUUACUAAACUGUGACUGACAUUGAUGCUCGAAAGUGUGGGUAGCAAACAGGAUUAGAUACCCCGGUAGUC